AGUAUAGCUGCACGUUUACUGAUUGGGUAUCACCUUUGACGCAGAAAAUAAACGAGAGACACACCCACAAAACGAGAGAAAACAUAUCUCAAAGCAGUUGCACAGAGUGUUCACACACUG